rnacentral:rRNA from 1 species
GACAGAGGGUGCAAACGUUGUUCGGAAUUACUGGGCGUAAAGCGCGUGUAGGCUGCUCUGCAAGUCGGAUGUGAAAGCCCUGGGCUCAACCUAGGAAGUGCACUCGAAACUGCAGAGCUUGAGUCCUGGAGAGGAAGGCGGAAUUCUCGGUGUAGAGGUGAAAUUCGUAGAUAUCGAGAGGAACACCGGUGGCGAAGGCGGCCUUCUGGACGGUGACUGACGCUGAGACGCGAAAGCGUGGGGAGCAAACAGG